rnacentral:rRNA from 1 species
AUUGAACGCUGGCGGCAGGCUUAACACAUGCAAGUCGAGCGGGGUGAUGGUGCUUGCACUAUCACUUAGCGGCGGACGGGUGAGUAAUGCUUAGGAAUCUGCCUAUUAGUGGGGGACAACAUCUCGAAAGGGAUGCUAAUACCGCAUACGUCCUACGGGAGAAAGCAGGGGAGCACUUGUGACCUUGAGCUAAUAGAUGAUCCUAAGUCGGAUUAGCUAGUUGGUGGGGUAAAGGCCUACCAAGGCGACGAUCUGUAGCGGGUCUGAGAGGAUGAUCCGCCACACUGGGACUGAGACACGGCCCAGACUCCUACGGGAGGCAGCAGUGGGGAAUAUUGGACAAUGGGGGGAACCCUGAUCCAGCCAUGCCGCGUGCGUGAAGAAGGCCUUAUGGUUGUAAAGCACUUUAAGCGAGGAGGAGGCUCUUUUGGUUAACACCCAAGAUGAGUGGACGUUACUCGCAGAAUAAGCACCGGCUAACUCUGUGCCAGCAGCCGCCGCAG